AAAGAAGAGGUGGAGAGACUGACAAUUUUGCUGAAAUGAGCAGAAGCUGCUGAGAAUUGUGCUGGUAAGAGGAGAAAAGGCUGAAAAUUUUGCAGAAAAGAGGUGAAUCAGCAGAAUUUCAGCUGAAAAGAGGUAAAGAAGCAAAAACUUGCGCUGAAAAGAGAUGAAUCAGCAGAAUUUCUGCUCAAAAGAGUUUAAGAAGCAGAAAGUUGUGCUGAAAAGAGAUGAAUCAGCAGAAUUUCUGCUUAAAAGAGUUUUUCCUGAAAACAGCUGAGAUUUGUGCUAAUAAGAGGUGAAAAGGCUGAAAAUUUUGCAGAAGAGGUGAACAAGCACAAUUUGGGCUGAAAAGAGGUGAAAAUUUUGCUGAAAACAGGUGUUCAAAUCCCAUGACCAGGAUUUGAACCUGGCCCUUCUGGUCUCAAGGAAGCUACUCAUCUCACUGAACUAAACUUGUUCCGACAAACACAAGGGAUGGAGAAACUGACAAUUUUGGUAAAUGAGCAGAAGCUGCUGAGUUUUGUGCUGAGAAGAUGUGAAAAGCUGAGAAAUUUGCAGAAAAGAGGUGAAUCAGCAGAAUUUCUGCAGAAAAGAUGGAAAGAAGAAGAACAUUGCGCUGAAAAGAGGUAAAUCAGCAGAAUUUCUGCUGAAAAGACGGAAAGAAGCAAUCACAGUAGCUGCUCAUCUCACUGAGCCAAAGCAGUUCUUGUCCCACCAAGAGAUAUGAUGAGAAAAAAUGUGCAGGGGGGGGGCCGUAGGAGCUGAAUUGUUGUGAAAAGAGGUGAAAAAGCUGAAAUUCUUCUGAAAGAGCAGAACAGGCUGAAAAUUUUCAGCUACUCAUUGAGCCAAACUGGUUCUCACAUAACUGAAAAAAGGUGAAAAAGCUGAAAAUUCUGAUAAAAACAUCAGAAGUGGCUGACAUUUGUGCUGAUAAGAGGUGAAAACGCAAACUUUCUGCUGAAAAGAGGCAGAACAACCUGGUUCUGCUCAAUUUCACCAAUCAGAGGUACUGCUUCUGUCUGCUUCAUCACGCUGUGUACUUGUAUGUAUUUCUGCCAUGUGGUGUUGACAAGAAUCUGA
ensembl:lncRNA